rnacentral:rRNA from 1 species
UACGUAGGGUGCGAGCGUUAAUCGGAAUUACUGGGCGUAAAGCGUGUGUAGGUGGUUGUCAUAGUCAGGUGUGAAAGCCUUGAGCUCAACUCAAGAAAUGCACUUGAUACUGGGCAGCUGGAGGACCGGAGAGGAUAGUGGAAUUCCCAGUGUAGUGGUGAAAUACGUAGAGAUUGGGAAGAGCACCAGUGGCGAAGGCGGCUAUCUGGACGGUUUCUGACACUAAGACACGAAAGCGUGGGGAGCAAACAGG